GUCUACGGCAAUGUCACCCCGAACAAGCCCGAUCCCAUCUGAUCUCGGAAGCUAAGCAGGGUGGGUCGGGCCUGGUUAGUACUUGGAUGGGAGACCACCUAGGAAGAUCAGGUGCUGGAGGUG
rnacentral:rRNA from 1 species